CCCCGUACACAAAAAUGCACAUGCUGUGAGCUCGAUGAGUAGGGCGGGACACGUGGUAUCCUGUCUGAAUAUGGGGGGACCAUCCUCCAAGGCUAAAUACUCCUGACUGACCGAUAGUGAACCAGUACCGUGAGGGAAAGGCGAAAAGAACCCCGGCGAGGGGAGUGAAAAAGAACCUGAAACCGUGUACGUACAAGCAGUGGGAGCACGCUUCGGCGUGUGACUGCGUACCUUUUGUAUAAUGGGUCAGCGACUUAUAUUCUGUAGCAAGGUUAACCGAAUAGGGGAGCCGAAGGGAAACCGAGUCUUAACUGGGCGUUAAGUUGCAGGGUAUAGACCCGAAACCCGGUGAUCUAGCCAUGGGCAGGUUGAAGGUUGGGUAACACUAACUGGAGGACCGAACCGACUAAUGUUGAAAAAUUAGCGGAUGACUUGUGGCUGGGGGUGAAAGGCCAAUCAAACCGGGAGAUAGCUGGUUCUCCCCGAAAGCUAUUUAGGUAGCGCCUCGUGAAUUCAUCUCCGGGGGUAGAGCACUGUUUCGGCAAGGGGGUCAUCCCGACUUACCAACCCGAUGCAAACUGCGAAUACCGGAGAAUGUUAUCACGGGAGACACACGGCGGGUGCUAACGUCCGUCGUGAAGAGGGAAACAACCCAGACCGCCAGCUAAGGUCCCAAAGUCAUGGUUAAGUGGGAAACGAUGUGGGAAGGCCCAGACAGCCAGGAUGUUGGCUUAGAAGCAGCCAUCAUUUAAAGAAAGCGUAAUAGCUCACUGGUCGAGUCGGCCUGCGCGGAAGAUGUAACGGGGCUAAACCAUGCACCGAAGCUGCGGCAGCGACGCUUAUGCGUUGUUGGGUAGGGGAGCGUUCUGUAAGCCUGUGAAGGUGUGCUGUGAGGCAUGCUGGAGGUAUCAGAAGUGCGAAUGCUGACAUAAGUAACGAUAAAGCGGGUGAAAAGCCCGCUCGCCGGAAGACCAAGGGUUCCUGUCCAACGUUAAUCGGGGCAGGGUGAGUCGACCCCUAAGGCGAGGCCGAAAGGCGUAGUCGAUGGGAAACAGGUUAAUAUUCCUGUACUUGGUGUUACUGCGAAGGGGGGACGGAGAAGGCUAUGUUGGCCGGGCGACGGUUGUCCCGGUUUAAGCGUGUAGGCUGGUUUUCCAGGCAAAUCCGGAAAAUCAAGGCUGAGGCGUGAUGACGAGGCACUACGGUGCUGAAGCAACAAAUGCCCUGCUUCCAGGAAAAGCCUCUAAGCAUCAGGUAACAUCAAAUCGUACCCCAAACCGACACAGGUGGUCAGGUAGAGAAUACCAAGGCGCUUGAGAGAACUCGGGUGAAGGAACUAGGCAAAAUGGUGCCGUAACUUCGGGAGAAGG
rnacentral:rRNA from 1 species